rnacentral:rRNA from 1 species
CCCCAUAGAAUAUUUAAGUGGCAUCACUUUGAAUAUUAAAACUCCGGUGGACAGAGAUGAGCGUGCGUCCUAUUAGGUAGUUGGUAGGGUAACGGCCUACCAAGCCGACGAUAGGUAGCUGAUGUGAGAGCAUGAUCAGCCACACGGGCACUGAGACACGGGCCCGACUCCUACGGGAGGCAGCAGUGAGGAAUAUUGGUCAAUGGACGCAAGUCUGAACCAGCCAUGCCGCGUGAAGGAUGAAGGCGUUCUGCGUUGUAAACUUCUUUUAUCUGGGAAGAAACCUACGAUUUCUAUUGUAGCCGACGGUACCAGAGGAAUAAGCACCGGCUAACUCCGUGCCAGCAGCCGCGGUAAUACGGAGGGUGCAAGCGUUAUCCGGAUUCACUGGGUUUAAAGGGUGUGUAGGCGGAUAUUUAAGUCCGAGGUGAAAUCUCUGAGCUUAACUCAGAAACUGCCUUGGAUACUAUUUAUCUUGAAUAUCGUUGAGGUAGGCGGAAUAUGUCAUGUAGCGGUGAAAUGCAUAGAUAUGACAUAGAACACCGAUUGCGAAGGCAGCUUGCUAAACGAUUAUUGACGCUGAGGCACGAAAGCGUGGGGAUCAAACAGGAUUAGAUACCCUGGUAGUCCACGCCCUAAACGAU